GGAGGUGACCAAUUCCAGAAAUGCCUCCUUGGAAAGGGCCAGGCACCGGCUGCAGCUCGAGCUCGAGGACGCUGUCGGACCUGGGGAAGGCUCGGUCUGCGGCAGCCAAGCGGGACCAGAAGCAGCAGUGGUCUGACGAGGCCCUUGCCGACUGGCAGCAGAAGCAUGCGGAGUCUCGAGUGUUGCUGGGUGCUUCUCAGAACGAGGUCCAGCCUCUUAGCAAAGAGAUUUCUAAUCUGGCAAACCAGAUUAGAGAAGGAACCAAGAACUUAACUGAAAAG
rnacentral:lncRNA from 1 species